rnacentral:rRNA from 1 species
GGCAAUGCGCAGCCUACACAUGCAGUCGAACGGUAGCACAGAGAGCUUGCUCUCGGGUGACGAGUGGCGGACGGGUGAGUAAUGUCUGGGAAACUGCCUGAUGGAGGGGGAUAACUACUGGAAACGGUAGCUAAUACCGCAUAAUGUCGCAAGACCAAAGAGGGGGACCUUCGGGCCUCUUGCCAUCAGAUGUGCCCAGAUGGGAUUAGCUAGUAGGCGGGGUAACGGCCCACCUAGGCGACGAUCCCUAGCUGGUCUGAGAGGAUGACCAGCCACACUGGAACUGAGACACGGUCCAGACUCCUACGGGAGGCAGCAGUGGGGAAUAUUGCACAAUGGGCGCAAGCCUGAUGCAGCCAUGCCGCGUGUGUGAAGAAGGCCUUCGGGUUGUAAAGCACUUUCAGCGGGGAGGAAGGCGGUACGGUUAAUAACCGUGCUGAUUGACGUUACCCGCAGAAGAAGCACCGGCUAACUCCGUGCCAGCAGCCGCGGUAAUACGGAGGGUGCAAGCGUUAAUCGGAAUUACUGGGCGUAAAGCGCACGCAGGCGGUCUGUCAAGUCGGAUGUGAAAUCCCCGGGCUCAACCUGGGAACUGCAUUCGAAACUGGCAGGCUGGAGUCUCGUAGAGGGAGGUAGAAUUCCAGGUGUAGCGGUGAAAUGCGUAGAGAUCUGGAGGAAUACCGGUGGCGAAGGCGGCCUCCUGGACGAAGACUGACGCUCAGGUGCGAAAGCGUGGGGAGCAAACAGGAUUAGAUACCCUGGUAGUCCACGCCGUAAACGAUGUCGAUUUGGAAGUUGUGCCCUUGAGGCGUGGCUUCCGGAACUAACGCGUUAAAUCGACCGCCUGGGGGAGUACGGCCCGCAAGGUUAAAACUCAAAUGAAUUUGACGGGGGGCCCGCACAAAGCGGUGGAACCAGGGUGGUUUAAUUCGAUGCAACGCGAAGAACCUUACCUGGGUCUUGACAUCCACAGAAACCUGGCAAAAGAUGCCCGGGGUGCCUUUCGGGAACUGUUAAAACAGGUGCUUCCAUGGCUGUCGUCCACCUCCUGUUUGUGAAAAUGUUUGGGGUUAAAUUCCCCCCAACAAAGGGCAACCCUUAAUCCUUUGUUUGCCCCCGGUUCCGGCCCGGGAAACUCCAAAAGAAAACUGCCCCUUGAUAAACUGGAGA